rnacentral:rRNA from 1 species
AAACAGGAGGAAGGUAAGGAUGACGUCAAAGAACAAAGCCCCUUACGCAGUGGAAAACACACGACUACAAUGCUACGGACAGAGGGAAGCAAGCUAGCGAUAAAAAGCGAAGACAACAGGAAGAACACCAGUGCAGAACGAACGCUGCAACGCCCCAACGGAAACGAAGAAACGAAAGCAAGGGCAGCAAACGGCAGUAAAUACCCCACCAGG